rnacentral:rRNA from 1 species
CGUAGGUGGCGAGCGUUGUCCGGAUUUACUGGGCGUAAAGGGAGCGUAGGCGGACUUUUAAGUGAGAUGUGAAAUACCCGGGCUCAACUUGGGUGCUGCAUUUCAAACUGGAAGUCUAGAGUGCAGGAGAGGAUAAUGGAAUUCCUAGUGUAGCGGUGAAAUGCGUAGAGAUUAGGAAGAACACCAGUGGCGAAGGCGAUUCUCUGGACUGUAACUGACGCUGAGGCUCGAAAGCGUGGGGAGCAAACAGGAUUAGAUACCCU